rnacentral:rRNA from 1 species
AACACGGAUUAGAUACCCUGGUAGUCCACGCUGUAAACGAUGUCGACUUGGAGGUUGUGCCCUUGAGGCGUGGCUUCCGGAGCUAACGCGUUAAGUCGACCGCCUGGGGAGUACGGCCGCAAGGUUAAAACUCAAAUGAAUUGACGGGGGCCCGCACAAGCGGUGGAGCAUGUGGUUUAAUUCGAUGCAACGCGAAGAACCUUACCUACUCUUGACAUCCAGAGAAUUUGCUAGAGAUAGCUUAGUGCCUCCGGGAACUCUGAGACAGGUGCUGCAUGGCUGUCGUCAGCUCGUGUUGUGAAAUGUUGGGUUAAGUCCCGCAACGAGCGCAACCCUUAUCCUUUGUUGCCAGCACGUAAUGGUGGGAACUCAAAGGAGACUGCCGGUGAUAAACCGGAGGAAGGUGGGGAUGACGUCAAGUCAUCAUGGCCCUUACGAGUAGGGCUACACACGUGCUACAAUGGCAUAUACAAAGAGAAGCGAACCCGCGAGAGCAAGCGGACCUCAUAAGGUAUGUCGUAGUCCGGAUUGGAGUCUGCGACUCGACUCCAUGAAGUCGGAAUCGCUAGUAAUCGUAGAUCAGAAUGCUACGGUGAAUACGUUCCCGGGCCUUGUACACACCGCCCGUCACACCAUGGGAGUGGGUUGCAAAAGAAGUAGGUAGCUUAACCUUCGGGAGGGCGCUUACCACUUUGUGAUUCAUGACUGGGGUGAAGUCGUAACAAGGUAACC